rnacentral:rRNA from 1 species
CGGAGGGUGCGAGCGUUGUCCGGAAUCACUGGGCGUAAAGGGCGCGUAGGCGGCCUGAUAAGUAGGGGGUGAAAUCCUGCGGCUUAACCGCAGGGCUGCCUUCUAAACUGUCAGGCUGGAGCACAGUAGAGGCAGGUGGAAUUCCCGGUGUAGCGGUGGAAUGCGUAGAGAUCGGGAAGAACAUCAGUGGCGAAGGCGGCCUGCUGGGCUGUUGCUGACGCUGAGGCGCGACAGCGUGGGGAGCAAACAGGAUAGAUACCCUGGUAGUCCACGCCGUAAACGAUGGGCACUAGGCGUCGGGGGGAGCGACCCUCCCGGUGCCGUCGCUAACGCAGUAAGUGCCCCGCCUGGGGAGUACGGCCGCAAGGCUG